rfam:Vigna angularis cultivar Jingnong 6 chromosome 3, whole genome shotgun sequence.
AAACCAUGAAUGAGAGUUUUUCUGAGCAAUCCUUUGAAUCUAUCCCAAGCUUGACUCAAGGUUUCCUCAAUAUCUUGCUAAAACAUAGAGAUCUCUUACUUCCCUUU